rnacentral:rRNA from 1 species
CCCUUAGAUGUUCUGGGCCGCACGCGUGCUACACUGAGUGGAUCAGCGGGUCAGGUUGCGCGAAAGUGUUUCCUAAUCUUGAAAUCCGCUCGUGAUGGGGAUUGACGGUUGCAAUUUUCCGUCAUGAACGAGGAAUACCUUGUAAGCGCGGGUCAUCAUCCCGCGCUGAAUACGUCCCUGCCCUUUGUACACACCGCCCGUCGCUCCUACCGAUUGAAUGGUUUAGUGAGAUCUCCGGAUUGGCUCUGUAGGUCCCGCAAGGGAUUUAUUAGUAGCCAAGAAGCUGCUCAAACUUGAUCAUUUAGAGGAAGUAAAAGUCGUAACA